rnacentral:rRNA from 1 species
UUGUAUGACUCUCGGCAAUGGAUAUCUUGGCUCUUGCAUCGAUGAAGAGCGCAGCGAAAUGCGAUACGUGGUGUGAAUUGCAGAAUUCCGUGAACCAUCGAAUUUUUGAACGCAAGUUGCGCCCGAAGCCAAUUGGCUAAGGGCACGUCCGCCU